UACGGAGGAUGCAAGCGUUAUCCGGAAUGAUUGGGCGUAAAGCGUCCGCAGGUGGCUAUGUAAGUCUGCUGUUAAAGAGUGAGGCUCAACCUCAUAAGAGCAGUGGAAACUACAUGGCUAGAGUGCGUUCGGGGCAGAGGGAAUUCCUGGUGUAGCGGUGAAAUGCGUAGAUAUCAGGAAGAGCACCGGUGGCGAAAGCGCUCUGCUAGGCCGCAACUGACACUGAGGGACGAAAGCUAGGGGAGCGAAUGGG
rnacentral:rRNA from 1 species